rnacentral:lncRNA from 1 species
ACACAGCCCUCUUGGUUGAUGGAGCCUUCGUACAGAAAGAAAAGCUUAGCUCACUUCAGUUCUUGAAAUCUGGGAAAACAUAUCCGGUUUAAACCGGAUAUCCCCAACCUAUCGUAAAAGCAAGGUAAAGACUAUCAAACAACGUUUGGGACUGACGUAAAAAAAUUGGAAUAACCGGGUUAAAAAAGAUGGGUCGGUGUCCAAAGAGGACAGACCUACCUCCCAUUGCCACUCUGCACCAAUAUUACUUCAGUAUGAAUCAGAAUUUUUUACUAAAGGAAUUAAAAGCCUGAAGAGAAUACUCUUUAGUUAUCCAUCUUUGAAUCUGGCCUGAAGGAUGUACCAGCAACCAAAGGAACUAAAAAGACACGAGAACAUUCUACUAAGUUCACAAGCUCCAAAUGCUCUAAGGGAAACUUUAGAUAAUAAACAGAGAAGGUUUAGGAGUUGCAUGAUCAAGGGAAAUAGGACGAAGAUAGCACAAGCACAAGUCUGGGUUAGCGAAGAGAAAGAGCAACACAGGAAGGAAAUGUUUCCCAAGAAUCAAUACUUGUAGAUCCAAGGCUCUCAGACUCACCUUGAAUCUAUCUCUGAGACACACAACAACUCCAAAGAUUAUUCUCCAAGAAGCCUCCUUUUGCUAACUCAAAAGACUGACUCAUGAGCACGGUUCACCAAAUCCAAACACGUGUCAGAUGGAUUAUUAACCUAUUUUUGCAUUACCACCUAGAUUCUUCAAAGUCUUUUCGUAAAACUAUAUACAGAAACCCAAUCAAACAAAGCUAAAGCGUAUGGGAACAAUCAAUCACCAGAGAAGGGAACGAACGAACGAAGAAUCUAAAUCACGGAAACCUACAAAAAGAUAAAUUAAAAUCACACACUACGAAAUAGAUCACGAACUUUCGAUCAGGCGAAUCUCCUUCCACCGAUUCGAUAGUCUCAGAGAGAGAGAGAGACGCUGAUGAGUUCUCCGACGGUUACUCCAGGAGCUCCGAGCGAGAAGCGAUUCGAUCUUCCUUUCAGUUAAAGAAACUUAAUGAGGACACCUUCUUCCCCCCGCGUGUGGGGUUUAUAUACUGAAGGCUUGACUUUUUCCAGAUACUUCGAAUUAUUGCCGUUUUCCGGCGCAAGCGAAAAUAUUUGUUCCUUUAAUUAUUUUUUAUUUGCUUUUGUGUGUUGACAGCUAAAAUAUCUAACACCAUUCAUUUCCAUGAUUCCCCCCAAGUUUUAAUAUCUUACCUCAAAAUGAAUAAUGUGGAGAGAAAAAAAAUACAUUACACAUGUCGCCAGCUAUUUUUCCAAAUGUGUAAUAAUAUUUAGAUUUCCACAACUGGAAUCAAUUAGCACAAUCUUUUCAACAGUUAAUGAAAAGAUUGCAUUUUUCAUUCUCUGUUUUUUCCUGUUCGGGAACGCGCUAGGCGCUAAUCGAACGGUCGGGUUGGACCUAGCGCAUAAUGAGAAAAUCGAAAAAUAAUCGAAAAUUAUGCGGAGUAGGAUUUUUAUAUUGUUUACUAUGUUAUAAAAUAUGUUAAUCUUUAACUGUAUAUAAUAUUUAUACAAUUUCAUGCUUAAGAUUGUAUACAAAUAGAAUAUAAACUUAAUAUACUGUAAUUUUCAUCAAAAUUAUGAAUAUAAAUGAUAUUUAUAAAAUUUUAUAUCCAAUAAAUUAAUAAAAAUAUUAUUAAAAAUAAAAUAAAAUAAAAUAAUAAAAAAUAGAUUAAGCAGCCGCCUAGACGGCUAGGCGGUCGCCUAAACGGCUAGGCGGUCUAGACGGAGAAAAUCAGAUAUCCGAUUUUUUAAAUCCAUUUGACAUAAAUCGGGACGGAAGAAUGACGUUUAGCGCCCAGGCGACCGUCUAGGCAGCUAGGCCGUCCAUUUUUAAAACAUGGCUGUUUUUAGACGAAAAAAACGUUUUUAAAAUAAAAAUAUGUGAAUGAACUGAUAUUUUACAUUAUUGCGUGGGAAAGGUUACUUUACGUGUUGAACUUGAUUAACUUAUUGCGGAGAUGGGGAUGGUGACGUGGCUUCUGAAUGAUUGGAAAUCCUUUACAAGUUUGGAUUCUGAUUAGUUUACGUAUUUACAAUACAUUCCCCCUCAAGCUUAUCUUUUAUGAUGUAGACCCGUUAUCAACUCUUCUUGUCAAUCCUCUCCACUAAUACCAAUCACAUUUCCUUCUUUUUUUUUUUAACACAAUACCAAUCACAUUUCUUCCAUCUCAUUAAAAAAUAAGUAGAAUUCUAUAGUUUGGGUGGUAAAAACCGCAAUGUAUUUUAAAAUUAAUAGUGUUAUUUGUUUAAAUUUCGUGUGAUGUCCUAAUAUAAGUUUAGGAAUUCACACAAACGACUACUUGUAGUUUUGGUAUACUUACACAAUUUUCUUUGAGAAUUCGGUCAAAAAAAACCUUAACUUUGCACGAAUUACCAAAAGAAACAUGAACUUUUGGGCUGACCAAAAAAACACCAAACUUUCAUUGACUUUAGAAUUAAUUAACAAUGUUUUCGCUGACUUGCCAAUUUAGCACGCCGUCAACAAAUUUAACAAAAAUAUUUGACGUCGUUUAUGGUAGACAUUAAGUGAAACGACGUCGUUUUACAUGAUUUGAAAUUAAAAAUAUGUAGACCCCUGGAUUCGAACCCAGGUUGUUUGGUCAAAUGACAAGGUCUUUUACCACUAGGCUAGUGGAACUUUCAAUGUACUUACUAACAUGUUUACUUUUAUUUGGUACUGAUUGAUACUUUGCCAUUUGAUCAACCAACCUGGGUUCGAAUCCAUGGGUCUACAUAUUUUUAAUUUCAAAUCAUAUAAAACGACGUCGUUUCAUCUCAUUUGAAAACGACGUCGUUUCACUUAACGCCAACAAUAAACGAUGUCAAAUAUUUCUGUUAAAUUUGUUGACGGCGUGCUAAAUUGGCAAGUCAACGAAAACAUUGUUAAUUAAUUCUAAAGUCAAUGAAAAUUUGGUGUUUUUUUGGUCAGCUCAAAAGUUCAUGUUUUUUUUGGCAAUUCGUACAAAGUUGAGGUUUUUUUUGGCCGAAUUCUCAAUUUUCUUUGUAUAUUUGUAUUUGAAUUGUUAAAAAGGAACAUAUAUAUUUUCAAGUACUUUCUUAGAAAAGAUAGCGGACUUGCAAAUUAUUUAUCCUAUUUUAUAAGAAUUUGAAAUUAAAUAAGUAUAUAUUUUUUUUUUUGAAACACUAUAUGGUUUUUUGAAAUUAAAUAAGUGUUUCAAAAAAAAAUAAUAAUAAGUAUAUAGUUUAUAAAGAAUUUCUCAUUAUUUUUUUAUGCUUUACUCAAUGUUGGAAACAAAGCAUAUCAAAUAUCCUAUUGUUUAUUACUCACUAGGGGGUGUCCGCGCUUCGCGCGGAAUAUUGUUUUAUUAUUGCCAAGAGCAUGAUUUUUUUUUUGGAUAAUGUAAUUAUGUUAUCGUUUUUAUUUGUUAAGAUCAUUAUUUGAUGUUUUUAGUUUGUUAUGUAGUAGGUGAUAAGUUAAUAUAUUUUGCGUUUUUUUUUAAUAAUGUGUUGUUGUGUAUAUAGUACUUGUUAGUAGUCAAAUGAGCCUCCAACGUAAACUAAUAUUGAAUUUCAAUAACUUUGCAUCUACGCAUUUGUUGAUUCUAAGACUAACGGUUUCAUCGUCAAAAUUGUAUUAUAUUUUUUUCAUAUUUUUGAAAAUUAUAAUUUUUAAGAUGUUUUUUGCCCUCUCCCCAUAUUUUAAACUUGAGCCCUCACCGUCUAUGUAUUUCGUUAUAUUUCUGGUGUGCGGUGCUUCUCACAAUCACCGAAAAAGACUCACAUUUUUCUCUUGUUCUUCUUGCCUUCUUCACCUAUGAGAUUAUAUGGUAUUUGUUGCAGAUCGGGUUUAUGAGUUUUCAGUUGUUCGGUUGCUUCCCACGGCAUUGUAGGCUGUUCCAGUCAAUAUUGAUUGCUCCUCUUCUUCCUUAGAUUUCAGCUGAUGUUAGGAAGUGCAUCUCCUUGGUUGGGUCAGAGUUUAUUCGUCUUUGAUUUUGUAUUCCUCGUCGUUGGCUUACCGUCAAUAGUCUCUGCUCGUUUUGGUUUUCAAGAUCUAGUUUUUGGUGUUCUGACUUCUAUGCUCUCUUUCAUAGCGUGAGGACGGCUCCAUAGUUUUCUGAUUUCGCUCUGUCUCCCUUUCCCUCUUUAUUCUUGCAUCUCUUUGCAGCUUUCAUCGCAUCUCUGGUGGCUCUCCCUUUCACCAUGUUUGCCACUCGAGAUUUGGAUAAUGUUUUCGUUCGUGUAUGCUAUGUGGGCUUGGAAGGUUAUUUCUGGUCUCAAGUUUAGUCUCUGAUUUUUUGGUGGUUGUCUUCCAUUCUCCCUCUCUCAAGUUGUUUCUUUUCUUUCCAUGUUUUCCUUGGUAUAGGUGUGCGGAGUUAGUCUCUUGGAGCUUUGGUCCCCUCUAUGCAGAGCUUUGUGGUUUUUCAGUUGCAUGUCGUCUUGUAUGUUCUUGUUUAGUCUGUGAGGUGUUUCUUACUUUUUAGCUACUGGUUGUGAUUCCGGUGUUUUAGGCAUAUAUUUUUCUGUUUUUUGGUGGCUUUGGCCUUUCGAUUAUUAUUAUCCCUUUGGCCGGCUUUCUUAGUUUAUGUGUUGGUUGUCUAGUUUCUUAUUCUUAAUUUGAUUAUCUUAUGAUACUAAUAGUGAAAUACAUAUAAUUUGUAAAUGAAAUAAUAAAAAUUAGUAAAAGUAAUAAAAUGAUGAAAAGUCUUGCUAUUUUUAGGUGUGAAUAAAUUAAAUAUUUAAAAUAUAUUUAUAUUAUUUUAUUUAUUUCUUGAAUUUUAGAGACCAAUAAGUGUGAGAAGAAUUAGAUAAUACACAAUUAGAAAUUGAUGGAGAAAAUUGCAAUAAUUUAAAUGAAGAAGAAUUUAAAUACAAAAAAAACAUGAGGACACAUGUCAACAAACCCCCUUUCCACAUGUCAUAAGAAGAGAAAAAGCCAACUUAAUAUAUAUAGAUUGGUUUUUUUGUUACACUUGACUUGUUCAAACUAAAUAUCCGAUUUUAUGGAUGAAGUAGAGAUCAGAUAGCAAGGAUGGACGGGUAAUGAAAAAUUGUGCCCACUGCUAUGUAAAAUGGUACAAAUGAUGUUUUUGAGUAAAAUUUAUUUAUUUGGAUAAAUGGUUUAACUCAGUCGAUCUCAUGGACCGGUGGAUUUGAGAUUGGUUUAGGGGGAACCGGAGAGAGAUGUUCAAAUUCCCUGCCCUUUUUGUUCUGACAGAGAUACGCCCAGUCAGCCAUUUAUGAGUGGCCGGCCACGUCACCACACUAAUAACCGGGUCAAGGAUAAGAUAAUGACGUUUCCAAACAAGGCCCUACCGUGAUGCGACCUUCAAGUAAACGCUCGUUCUUUGCGAUUCCUCCGCUUACCAUAUAAAUACAUAAGAUAAGUCCAUUAUUGACAGUUACGAUCGUCUCUCUUCUCCAACGCUUCUGAUCUCCUCUUUCGUUUCUGGUAAGCUCGUUUUCUCUCCAUCGUUUCUGCUUCUCCGUUGACUACGAUUCUCGACGCGAUCGCAGCGGUGGCGCAUGUUCGUGUUCUCUUAGAUUUGAAUCAGUUUCCUUAGAUCAUACUUUUGCGAACGAAGAACGUUUCAGUUUCUGUGUAUGUAGUGCCUUGAUUUGUGCGAUCUUUGUUGAUGUGAUGAUAUAACUGAUCGCGUUUGAUCGAUCCAUGAUGCCAGAGGCUAGAGAAUAGUAGGUUCUCGGCGUAGAUUAGUGUUGAUCCAUACCUAAGGCGUGCGUUAACAAGAGAAAGCUGAUCUUACUAAUCUGUAACGAUGCCUUGUGAUCUUGGCCUACAUUGAUUUUGAUUGAUUGAUUGAUUGAUACCUAAGGGCGUUAACAAGAGAAGCUGAUCUUAUUAUAUCUGUAACGAUCAUCUCUUUAUGAUAUCAAUAUUGAUCUCUUGUGAAUUGUGAUCUUCUUGAUUAGUAUUUUGAGUUAGCAAUGAAGCCAGGAGGAUCAGGAUUGAAUCCAAACGCAGCAGCUUACGUACCAAUCUCCAAAAGAGACGGUGAUUCUGCAAAGCCUGCUGCUGCUGUCACACAUCCCUAUGCAGCUGAUGGUUAUGGAGUUCAAGGAAAGGGAAGUUAUCAAAUGUACAUGCCAAAGACGGCUACAUCCUCUGAGAAGAAGAUGAGUGAGGAAGAUUUGGAGAUGGACGUGGACAUUGAGUUUCUUUUAGCCACGUUCUCUGACUUGUCAUAUGAGUCUAUCAGUGAUGUGUACUUGGCCAACAAUGGUGAUCUGGAUGCAACUAUCGAAAUGCUGACUCAGCUCGAGGUGAUUCAUCUCACUAGUAGAUUUGAUUACACUAGUGUAGAUUGUAAAGCUUAAGCUUUGUUACAAUUGAUGUUCCAAUUUCUGCAGAUUUUCAGUAAUGAAGCCGAGGAGUACCUCCCAGACACACUGGACAUUGGCGAUGUACCUGAAACCAUCGAGCCUUCUACUUCAUCAGCUCCAAAGCAGACGAAUGCAAGUACAUCAACAUCCUCCCGUACCCCAAACGCUCCCUCCUCCUGAUUUGAUGAGUCUUUAAAAUGUGAGGAUUAAGAAAAAAACAUUCUUGCAAUGGAUGAUGAUGAUGAUAUGAGGUUGAUGGGUUAUCUUGGGAGAUCUCUUUACUAUGUUUUCCUUCCCCGCUGCUUUGUUACAUUGGAGAAAAAGAGAGAGUACAAUGUAUAGAUUUUUGAAAAUAUCAAGUGUGAGUGUUGAGAAUUGGGAUUGUUCUUAUGGUGGACAAAGCUAUGAAUCAUUAGCCACUGAUGAUGCUAUUUUGGCCAUUUUGAGUCUUUUCUCUUCUUUUGCUCAUUGCGCUGCUCAGUAUUUUUGCAUCUUCUCUUCACCACAUGUAUGACUUAUGGAAUUGAUUUUGUUCUUUGGUAUAUUUCUAAUGUUUACAUCCAUUAACUAUAUCUUGACAAUGUUUAAUGUUGUAUAGUAUUUUUUUCUCCCAUUAAUUCAAGAUUUUAUUAAGUUGUUAAAAGAUGGAAUCUCAACAUUGUUUGUGGGUCUGUAACAAUUAAAUGAAUAAACGUGCAGCUACAUUUGCGGCCCUCUUCUCUCUCUCUAAGUAUUAUUAUUAGAAUCAUCUAAAAAUACCUCCAUAUACUUGCUCGAUUUGGUUUCUUCUUCUUUCUUUUUCUCCUUUUUCAUCAUUCAUUUGGUGAUGCUGGAGAUCUGAUUCUUUUCUUCUGGUUUUUAGUUUUCGAGGAAGAAGAAAUUCAAAAUAAUAAUAAUAAAAAAGAUGGGUUUGGAUUAUUACACCAUAUUGAAGGUUGACAAGAAUGCAACGGAGGAUGAUCUCAAGAAAUCUUACCGAAAAUUGGCUAUGAAAUGGCAUCCUGAUAAAAACCCUACCACCAAAACCGAAGCUGAAGCCAAAUUCAAACAGAUCUCUGAGGCUUAUGAGGUAACUCCUUUUCUCGUUCCUAAUCUUGAUUCCCUUAGAUCCCAAAAUAUCCAAAACUGUGUGUGGAUAUGUCUUGCUGAGAUCCAUUCCUUUGACUAAUAAUGAGUUUCUUGGGACACAUGCAAAAUGUACCUCCUCAAAGCCUAUUUUCUGAGGCAAUGUUUCAUUUGUGGGAAAACAUUUCAGGUUCUGAGUGAUCCUCAGAAGCGAGCAGUAUAUGAUCAAUACGGUGAAGAAGGGUUGAGCGGUAUGCCGCCUCCCGGGAGCACAGGAAACAAUGGAAGAGCAGGCGGUUUCAACCCUAGAGAUGCAGAGGACAUAUUCGCAGAGUUCUUUGGAAGCAGUCCAUUUGGUUUUGGUUCAGCUGGUGGUGGUCCUGGAAGGUCAACAAGAUUCCAAUCAGACGGAGGAGGAAUGUUCGGCGGAAACAACGGUAGUGAGAACAUGUUCAGGACUUACAGCGACGGCACUGUGCCUAAGAAACCACCACCCGUUGAGAGCAAGUUGCCUUGUAGCCUUGAAGAGUUGUACACUGGAUCGACAAGGAAAAUGAAGAUCUCUAGAACCAUUGUUGACGCUAACGGGUAAUCCUUGUUUCCAUAUUUUGGAGGUUAUAGAUAUUUAAUAAGAAUUUUAGUAAAAAUAAACAAUUAUAAAUUAUUUUAGAAAAAUUGAGGACCAAUGCCAAUGUUUUACUGGACUGUGUCCGGGCCAUGGAGUCUCUCAUUAGUGUGUUGUUUGGAUGGUGAAACAGGAGACAAGCGCAAGAGACAGAGGUUCUAACCAUUGUUGUGAAACCAGGAUGGAAGAAAGGGACCAAGGUCAAGUUUCCAGACAAAGGAAACGAGCAAGUGAAUCAGUUACCAGCUGAUUUGGUGUUUGUGAUAGACGAGAAGCCGCAUGAUUUGUUCAAGAGAGAUGGGAAUGAUCUCAUCACAAGCGCGAAAGUGACGCUUGCGGAAGCUAUAGGAGGAACAACUGUGAGUAUCAAGACGCUUGAUGGGAGGAAUCUACCUGUUGGUGUCACGGAGAUAGUCACUCCAGGGUAUGAGCUUGUGGUUCCUGGAGAAGGGAUGCCGAUAGCUAAAGAAAAAGGAAACAGAGGUGAUUUAAAGAUCAAGUUUGAUGUUCAGUUUCCGACAAGGCUGUCAACGGACCAGAAGUCUGCGCUCAAAAGGGUCUUAGUGGGUUGAAGAGUUGAGAUUUGGAAUCCUCUCAAUGCUCUUGCAGUCAUGGUGAUGGUACCUUCCUUUGUUUUUUUUGUUGUUCAUUAGUUCUUUCUGUGAAGACUUUGUAGCAUGUUCUUGAUGUGUCUUAAAAACAGUCUGUACAAAUCUUUGAUUGUGUUUGUUGCAUACUAUUAAACUUUAAACUCUUGUUCUUAAAUAUUCCGUUACUCAAAGGUUUACAAUUCUAUUAGCAUGCUACAGUAAAUAGAAGUCAAUAAACCUAACAAAAACAUACUAUAAUAUUAGAGAAAGGAACAAAGAGAUAUCCUCUGGCUCAAAUAUUAAUGACAUAAGUAGAGACAUAUGUUUCCACAUUCGAUAAGUUCAUGUUGCCACACAUGGAAGCCAUGGGGACUCAUCUUCUUUAAUGUCUGAAAAUGGCAUAUGGUGAAUAGGAGUUUCCUCCAUAUAGGUACAGAGAUACUCUGCUCCCAUAUUAAUGGACAUGAUACACCACAACUGUAUGCAACAUUCACUUAAAAAUCUUCAUGGCAACAGAUGGAUAGAGUUUUGUGGUUAAUCUUUCAACUGUUAAGCAAAGGAGGAGAAAUAUACUUGUGGUUAACGUGGAUUCCACGGCACACGCCGAUUAAAUAAAACGGCCUAAUUCAAAUAAACAAGGCCCAAACUGAAUACGAGCUUUGAUAAUAAACGGGCCUUGGCAUUUACUUAGGAUACCUCAUUAAUGAAUCCAACGGUUGUAAUCACGUGUCAGUGUCUUUACCAGACGGACGCUAUAAUUGCAUGCGAGUUGUUAAUUAAUAUUAUUACCAGAAAACAAAACCGCUGUUUUCUUCGAUAAAAUCAAAAAACUAAAUUGCCCAGAAAAUACCAUCAUUUCUCUCAGCAAUCGAGAAAGUAAAAAAAAAACAAUCAAUCAACACACUGUUCCUUCUCCUUCUCGAUCCAAACUCUUGUUUUAAUUAUUCUCUCUCGUAUUUUUUUUUAAAAAAAAAUCGAAACUACUGUUUCCUUUCACCUCCCAGAUUUGCUUUUUUCAAAUUUCCUCUCUAGAUUUCAGAAAACUUUCCUCUUUUGUUUAAUCAAUCUUAAGAGUCUCUACUCUCUCUCUCUCUAGACUCUAGGAAUGUUCGUGGUUACUGGAAUCAUGAGAUGAAGAUUUGAAGAGAAAGCAAGUAAUCAUUAGGGUUUCCGAAUCACCAAAAGUGUCAACCUUUUGUUCCGGAUCUGUGGUUCUGUCGGGGGUGAAGAAUGUUCUGUCCUAACACAACAUUUUGAUCUCUCUCUCUCUCUCUCUCUCUCUCUUUCGAUUUCCAUCACUAUGUUCAAGCAGUUUCUCAGUAAGCUUCCUCGGAAGUCCUCAAAACCCGACUCCACCUCGGAUCCAUCCGGAUCCAGCGUUGUCAGAUCCAACUCCGUCAAACGCAUGUCCUCCGCCGUCUUCCCCUCCAGCGUCGUCGCCGGAAUCGAGCCUUUGGUACCCUUCAAAGACGUCCCGACCUCCGAGAAGCUAAACCUUUUCGUCUCCAAACUCAGCCUCUGCUGCGUAACCUUCGACUUCUCCGACCAAACCAAGAACUCAAUCGAGAAAGACGUGAAAAGACAGACUCUCCUCGAGCUCCUCGACUUCGUAUCCUCCUCCUCCUCCUCCUCCGUUAGGUUCACCGAGCCGGCCAUCCUCGCGAUGUGCAAGAUGUCCGCCGUUAACCUCUUCAGAGUCUUCCCUCCGAGCUACCGAGAGAGAAACGAUAGUGACGAUAACGAUCCCACGUUCGAACCUGCUUGGCCUCACCUGCAGAUCGUUUACGAUCUGCUCCUUAAGUUCAUCACGUCUCCUUGCCUCGACGCUAAGGUAGCUAAAAAGUAUCUAGACCACGGGUUUAUCUUAAGGCUCCUCGAGUUGUUCGACUCCGAGGAUCCGAGAGAACGAGAGUGUUUAAAGACGAUACUCCACCGUGUCUACGGGAAGUUCAUGGUUCACAGACCUUUUAUCCGCAAAGCAAUGAGUAAUAUCUUCUACAGCUUCGUCUUCGAGGCCGAGAAGCGCGGCGGCGGCGGAGGAAUCGCCGAGCUUCUCGAGAUUUUCGGGAGCAUUGUGAGCGGUUUCGCGCUGCCUCUCAAAGAGGAGCAUAAGAUCUUCCUGUGGAGGGUGUUGAUUCCGUUGCACAAGGCCAAAUCCGUUGGGGGGUAUUUCCACCAGCUGUCUUAUUGUGUGACUCAGUUUAUAGAUAAGGAGCCGAAGCUUGGGAGCGUUGUGAUCAAAGGUUUGUUGAAGUUUUGGCCUGUGACGAAUAGUCAGAAGGAGGUUAUGUUUCUUGGGGAGGUUGAGGAGAUUGUGGAGGUGAUGAGUUUGGUGGAGUUUCAGAAGGUGAUGGUUCCUUUGUUCUUGAGGAUUGCUUGUUGUGUUAACAGUUGUCACUUUCAGGUAGGUUUCUUGCUUUCUUUUUAAGAGAUAUUGUUAGAUCUCAAUCAGGGCCGUCUAAAAUUAUAUUUUAGACCUUGUUUAAAAAAAAUAUUAACGGUAUAUUUAACUACUAAGUUUAAAAAGUAAAUAGACGUUUUUUUGGAAAUUAUAAGCUCUAAAUUUAGCUUUUUGAUCAAAAAUUUUGAAGUUUUAAACCAUAAUUUAAAAAAAUAUUAACGGUAUAAUUAACUAAGUUUUAAAAGUUAACAGACGUUUUUUUUUGAAAUUAUAAACUCUAAAUUUAGCUUUUUUUGAUUAAAUUUUUUGAAGUUUUAGACCAUAAUUUAUGUAUAUAUUUUUGAAAAUUUAUUUUAUUUUUAGAUACCGCUCCACUUAGAUGGCCUUGGUCUCAAUUUUGAAACUUGAACCGUUUGUGUUUUUCUUGUGGUUUAGGUUUCUGAGAGAGCUUUGUUCUUGUGGAACAACGAUCAGGUUGUGAAUUUGAUUGCACAGAACAGGCAAGCCAUCUUGCCAAUCAUGUUCACUGCCUUGGAGAAGAAUGCUGAGAGCCACUGGAACCAAUCUGUGCUGAACUUAACUCUAAACGUGAGGAAAAUGUUCUGUGAGAUGGACGAGGCUUUGUUCAUGUCUUGCCACGCGCGGUUUCAGGAGGACGAAGCAGAGCAAUGCUCUGCGGAGGAGAAGAGGAAAGAAACAUGGGCGAGGCUAGAGAAGGUGGCAAGUAUGAAGCCUGUAACUGGAAAGACAGCUGUUCUGGUAACUCCUUUAGCAACCUCUAUUGCCUGCUAAAUGAAGAUGAUGGAAUGGUUGUUGGUUAAGCUAUGGUCUGGAUUUGAUCUUUGUAAUGUUAUAUAGUUUUGAUGUUGUUAGCUUAUGUGGGUUUUAUGCUAAAUCUCUUGCUUUAAAAGUGAGGAAGCCUUGAAACCAUGCUGCAGAUUUCUAUAUGAAACUCUUUGUAUUCAAUUAAGUUUAUAUAAGAAGUCAUUUUCAACAAUGUGUUAUGUGUGUGUAUAUGAGGUACAUAGAGUCUUGCUACAGAAACAAAAACAUAGUUAUUGUCUUCAUUGUAGGCAUGCACUCGGGUUCGGAUAAUUCGGUUUGGUUCUAACAUAAAUCUUACCAAAUUUGAAAUAAAGUUUGGUUCGGUAUUCGAUUUUCAAAAAUUUAAUUUUUUUUUAUUUUGGUUAUAUUUUGAUUUAAUUUUGUUAAAAUUUCAGAUAAGUUUGGUUAAAUUCAAUUAGUUCAAUUAUUACGGUUUGAAAUGUGGCCAAUUCGGUUCAAAUUUUGGCAUAAUUUGGUCGUAAUUUUUUUUUUCAAAGAAAACCAAAGUAACAACCACUUACCAAAUCGAAAACUGAACAUUUUUUAAUAAAAACCACCAAUUCUAUUUGCUAAAGAAACAAAAACAUAGUUUUUAGUCUCUUCUUCACAAAACUUCAUAGAUUAAGGUCAUGUAGGAAGAACGUUUUCCCACGAUAUGUUAUGGUCUUUUCUUCACCUCCAAGGCACCACAAAUGCCCUUGCAGGUCAAGACUCUCCUUCAUCCCAGCCGUUUCCCACACAAAUUCAAAUAGCCCCAAGGCUCUAUCCAACUGCUUGAUCCCUCUCCCCAACAUCUUCUCAUCCCCUGAGGUCAAUACCCUCCCCAUGCUUAAGCUAAAAACCCCACUCUUCUCCUCCUUGUGAAACCCUCCACAGAGAUCAACUUCAAUGUCACGCACACGUCCGUAGAGAAAAUACACGAGGAGAGUGAACAAACACGGAGAAGGACUCCCCAACAUCUUCGAAAGCUUUCUGUAGACAAGGUGCUCUUGAUGCCUAACCUCUCUGAACCCAAUAGUGUUGUCCAGAAACACGUCUUUGAUCUGUAGAAGCCCUUCUUUCAUCGACAAAAGCUUCUCCAUAUGGUAAAAGUCAUGCUCUUCGAGGUACCUUCUCAGAUCGUUCACCAUGUCGAGAACAUCUUCCCACUUCGCAGAAGCGUUUGCCUUCGCGUAUCUACCUGGCACGGGACGCAUCCAUGAAGUCGAGCUCUCGUCUUCGAACGAAACCGAUGAUUCAGACAAGAACUUGAGGCAAGACAAGAUCACUUGCUGUCCUAACUUCGUCCCUUGCCUUGUUGUCUCGCUAUGUUCAACUUCUUCUUGGAGACCAUUCAGUAUAUCUUCGAGCGCACCUCUCCAGAUACGGUACUGGGUCACCUGUGAACACACCGUGGACCUCACUAGCUUCCUCUGUUGGGCCGUGAUGUCAAGAAAGUUGCAAACUUUGGUUAAUGAGUUCACCAACAAUGGCUCUCUUUCGGUUUCGGUGUUGAAGCGUCCGUGUUCUUUGAGCUUCUGCUGAAGUGAAGGUGACCCAACGAAGAUUCUAGCUAGAGAUUUGAAGGCUUGCAUCUUCUGUUUGAUGUGAUCAUCGUAGAUGAUGACGCCGUUGAUGUCUUCGAGCUUCCCGUCUACUAAAUCAAAGUCUUUUAGUGAACGGGUGAGUUUGGUUAGAAGUGGGAGUUUCUUUGAGUACCAUUCAAAUGGUAAUGAUUCUUUGUAGGAAUCAACAUGGAUUGAACGGAGGAAGCGACUUGGGUUAGCCCUUACGGUACCCAACAUUUGAAACAGCUACGAGCUAAUAUUCAGACAUUAAGUGAAUAAAUCAGACAAGAAAUGUCAAACUCUCUCUCUCUCUGUCUCUCUCUUGGGAAUUUCUACGAACAGUUUGUGUGCAACUCUUGAAGACGGGAAAAAUCUAAGAGACUCAUCAACAUGUAGGAUUUUCUAACUAGACAUUAAAGUUGUAGUGCAAGAGCAUCUGUAGCGUGAAAGAGAAGUGAAGCGAUUUGGGAGAAGAGAAGAGAAGCUUCAGAUGAGUAGAUAUGGCAAUGUCUGUGAGAGAGGAGAUGAGAAGUUGGAAAGCGAAGAGAGCAGGUUUUGGGUUUGGAUCAUUAAUGGGCCGAAGAAAUAAUAAUUUAAAAAGGCCCAAGAGCUAGUAUUAUUACGGUAUAUUUUUCUUUUUGUUUUACGUACUAAAACGUUUCUAAUAUGUUUUUUUUAUUAACCAAGAAACUGUAAAGUUUCCUCAUAAAAAUUGUAGAAUUUUCAUAUAUAUGUUUGUUAGUAAUACUGUAUAUGUAAUUAAAUCAUUUUUUUUUGUCCAAUUGCACCACCAUGCUUUCCAAAAACCAAGGUAUUACAGUUUCUAAUUUUGUAAUUCUUAAACCAGGGAAAUGGUCUUUUAAUUAUCUUUACUUUUGCUCGUAACAUUCUUAACUUUCCCACGAAAAUCAGAAUUUUGAAAUAUCCAGUUAACUGUUAAGCCUCUCUGUUGUCUCCUAAGCAUUACUCUGUGAGUCUAUCUUCCCCCUCCAACGGAUUUUCAGUUUAUUAAAUGAAAUUUCUGAAUGUUGUGAAGAAUAUAUAGUAUUGAUAUCUUUUAUCAAAAAGGAGAUAUAGUAUUUGAUCAUGUUUAUGUCUUUUUAUAUGAAGAUUUACGAUUUCUGAGUCCGAUUCCUCUUGACUCGUGCGGAUGCCUCUAUUGUUUUUAGUAGAAUUAUACCAUACAUAUUAUUUUUUUUGAUAAUCAAUUAUACCAUACAUAUUACAUACGGCCUUUAAAAGGAAAAAGCGUUUUCAUCCAAAUUAUUGAGAAUGCAUGGUCCUUCCAUGACAACUGCAUACUUUGCAUAAAGAUAUAUAUAAAUCAUUAGGAAGAAUGUGACAAAAAACAAAAGAAAGAGAAGCGAAGAAAGAAGGGCUUAUAAAGAUGAAUAUGCUUUCUUUUAUGUGGGUUAAAGAAAAAUUUUAUGCUUUCUUUUAUGUUUUAAAAACUUUUUCUUAAAGUUGCUGCAAUUUUCUAAAAAUUUACCAAUCUAUUAAUGUUUUUCUUUAACUGUUUUGUAAUGAUAAAUUGUUUUUAUUAUUGUUUUCAAGGGUAUUUGUAAAAUGGAUAAAAGGUCUUCUUUGAUGUUGCUUUUUGCUACAAAAAUUGACUUUAACAGUAUGAAUUCUUGUUUACUUCUUCCGUUUCUCAAUAAAUAUCAUUUUGACACUAUUCACACAGACUAAUAAAGUAGCGGAAAUAUAUGUAAAUUGUUACUAUCUCUGUUCCCGAAAGUAAGAUUUUCUAAAGUGUUCACGCUUAUUAAGAAUUCAAUAAAUGUUUAUAAUUUAUUUUUUCUUUUACUUUAUUAUACACUUUUCAAUAACUUUUCACCAAUGAAAUUUAAUCAAUUCAAAUAUUUUCAUUUAAUGUUUCUUAAAAGCAUAAAAAGUACCUUAAACAUAUAGAAAAUCUAUAUUUGUGAAACAAGUAAAAAAUCUAAAACAUCUUACUUUGGAGAACGGAUGAAGUAUUAAUUAAAUCUUUCCGACCAAUAGUAUUUGAGAUAAGUAAAAUUAUUUAUAAAACCAAUGCAGUUUGCAAUUAAUUUUCAGCUGAAAUUAAGUAUAAUUUGCAUUGUAAUUGUAAAGUGAAUUUUUUUAUGUAACAAAAAAAAGAUAGAAUGACACUUAUUAUGAAACAGAGAGUAUAUAACAACUGAUUUACACUUUUACUUAGAAUGGUUAUCGAGAAAAACGAAACACUAAGUGCUUAGUUUAUGUAUGUAAGUUAGUUACUCCCCUAAUUUAUGUUUAGUUAACAUGGAUUAUGAAACUGAAACUAUGAUUAAAGCUAUGUGAAAACAUAUAUGCACACAUCUAGUCUGACUCUUCCAAAUCGAAAAAGAUGUUUCAUCUGUAUUCUUCGAAAAAACUUAUAAAGCAGUGACUUAAUAUGACAAUAAUAUGUAAUUUAGUGACUGAUUAAUUAGGAAUAUCGGAGUAAUUGUAAAAUUACGUACUUAGCUAAGUUGUAUAAUAUGACUAUGCUAGUUAUAAUAAAAUGUGUUUUUACUAGCUAGCAUAGUCAUAUUCAUACAACUUGACUAAGUUAUAUGCAAUACUGUAUUCGAUUAAUACAAAUAAAACAGAUUUACUAUUAAGGAAUAGACCCUUUUUCUUGUCUAUAAUGCAUACGUAUGUUAUAUGUCUUAUCUAAGUUCAUUUGGUGAUAUAAUAACAUCGAACUUGGUCGAGCCUGUCUUAAGAAUGCUGUUUACUACAAAUCAACGGGUUCAAAUAGCAACGCAUGACAUGAAUGCAAUGCAUCUUAAUCGAAUAUAAUUGAUAUGGGUUUGGAAUUCAAAGUGGGAAUGAUGCAUACCUAAGACGUACUUUCACUUCACUAAAACCAAAGAAGAAUAAAAUGAUGAAUUAACUUAAAAGUGGGGAAAAAACGAAAGAUUCUUUAGUAAAAGCCAAUUAGUGCAACCCUUUAACAAAAAAGCCAGGCAAUGGAUUGUAGUAGCAGACAUUAAAGACGGGUUAUCUUCUUUUUUGACCAUUUGAUGAUAAUCUUAACUACACAACUCUACCAGGUCAAAUGACGACUGAAGAAUCCUAUGCAAAAUGCAACGUGUCUGUAGACACGUACCCACGCUUAUACUCACUAGAAUGAAUGGUGAGUAACAAACAAAUCUUCAUGUAAGGGAACAGUAUAAAAAUGCUCUGCCGCGAAACAUCCAUUUGUGACAUAAAUUCCAAAACGAACUCGGUGAGCUUGUCAUUCAGGUAUUUAGUGACAACAUAAUUAUUAUUCUCUGGUAACUAUUCAUAUUCUUAAAGAAAGGAACUCAAGAUAUUUUUCUUUUCAAUGUGGUGGUCAACUCAUCAUACCUAUAAUAAUAUAUGCUUCAGUUUAUCCCCCGUUGAAAAUUUCAAAUCUCAUGGUUAUUCACUCUCUUUUUGAGCCAUUGGAUUUUGAUGUGGUCCAUGCAUGCAUCUACUCAUUUCAAACACUUUUUCUUACUCAUUUCAAACACUUUUUCUUACUCAUUUCAAAUACUUGCUAGAAUUGUUGUUUGGUUUGACGUAAGAAUCUCUAUCCCUAGCUAUACUAAAGUUUAUAUAAGAUUAAUUGCAUCAUAUGAUUUGCAUACAAUUUGGAUUUGCUGUCGCAAAUCUCAUCGUCUUGUACGGUCAACAACUCAAGUGCUUCAAACUUAGAUGAGAAUCGACAUUGCGGGAUAAGAGAGUAAUAGUUUAUCAAAAAUAAGGAUGCAUUGAUUAAAACAAACGUACACAGUAGGAGAUCGAUAUCAGAAGUCAGAACAAAGAACUUCCGAUUUUUCUUAUUAGCUUAUAGUCUAAACAUAACCAGACAAAGGUCCUACGAAAUACGAAACGAGUCAAAUCGAGAAAGAAAAACACAAAUAACGACAAACAGGGUCGUUAUCUUGCUUCCAUUCUUCAGUAGUUUUAUCUCUUCUAGUGCAGGCUGCAUAAAAAAGCCAAAGUAUAUGUUAAAUACUGUUUCAAUCAUGAGGUCUCACGUUUUAAAAUUUAAAAUGAAAACUUGUAUUCACGUAAUAAAUUUAGACCCAAUAUACAUGGGGCACGAAACAAUAACUUAUUUUGCAUAUGUUCUGGAUUGGGUCUGGUUAGUUUCUAUAUAUGCCACCUUUUGUCAACGUAUAUAUAGCACACUAGCAUAUAAACCAUGAGAGAUUGUUGUGGCUUGAGAGUAAACUUUUGGAAUUAUUAGAAAUGAAAUUUAUUGAAGAAAUAACAAAUAACCAAAUUUACUUGAUCAAGAUGAUGAAGAAAGUUAGGUCUAGUAGGGUGGAUUGGUGGCAGGUUCCUUUGGGGCGUUGCACCUGAAACACUCUGACCUGCUUGCGAAGUUAUGUUCAUUGCAGCCUGACCUAUACAUACAAAACCAAUCAGCUUCUACAAUCUUCUUAUACAUAUACAAACAUGAAUGAAUAUAAAUACUAAUAUUCUAAAAUUGUCCUCUUAGCUUACGAAGCCUGCGCGCGCAUGAAUUUAUGUAUAUAUAUUAUUACAUGGUGGAGACGCCCAUGUACAUUUUCAUGAACCAUGCACAUGAAACAAACAAAUACAAAAAAAAAAAAAAACUUCUGCUGAAGUGAAGGUGACCCAACGAAGAUUCUAGCUAGAGAUUUGAAGGCUUGCAUCUUCUGUUUGAUGUGAUCAUCGUAGAUGAUGACGCCGUUGAUGUCUUCGAGCUUCCCGUCUACUAAAUCAAAGUCUUUUAGUGAACGGGUGAGUUUGGUUAGAAGUGGGAGUUUCUUUGAGUACCAUUCAAAUGGUAAUGAUUCUUUGUAGGAAUCAACAUGGAUUGAACGGAGGAAGCGACUUGGGUUAGCCCUUACGGUACCCAACAUUUGAAACAGCUACGAGCUAAUAUUCAGACAUUAAGUGAAUAAAUCAGACAAGAAAUGUCAAACUCUCUCUCUCUCUGUCUCUCUCUUGGGAAUUUCUACGAACAGUUUGUGUGCAACUCUUGAAGACGGGAAAAAUCUAAGAGACUCAUCAACAUGUAGGAUUUUCUAACUAGACAUUAAAGUUGUAGUGCAAGAGCAUCUGUAGCGUGAAAGAGAAGUGAAGCGAUUUGGGAGAAGAGAAGAGAAGCUUCAGAUGAGUAGAUAUGGCAAUGUCUGUGAGAGAGGAGAUGAGAAGUUGGAAAGCGAAGAGAGCAGGUUUUGGGUUUGGAUCAUUAAUGGGCCGAAGAAAUAAUAAUUUAAAAAGGCCCAAGAGCUAGUAUUAUUACGGUAUAUUUUUCUUUUUGUUUUACGUACUAAAACGUUUCUAAUAUGUUUUUUUUAUUAACCAAGAAACUGUAAAGUUUCCUCAUAAAAAUUGUAGAAUUUUCAUAUAUAUGUUUGUUAGUAAUACUGUAUAUGUAAUUAAAUCAUUUUUUUUUGUCCAAUUGCACCACCAUGCUUUCCAAAAACCAAGGUAUUACAGUUUCUAAUUUUGUAAUUCUUAAACCAGGGAAAUGGUCUUUUAAUUAUCUUUACUUUUGCUCGUAACAUUCUUAACUUUCCCACGAAAAUCAGAAUUUUGAAAUAUCCAGUUAACUGUUAAGCCUCUCUGUUGUCUCCUAAGCAUUACUCUGUGAGUCUAUCUUCCCCCUCCAACGGAUUUUCAGUUUAUUAAAUGAAAUUUCUGAAUGUUGUGAAGAAUAUAUAGUAUUGAUAUCUUUUAUCAAAAAGGAGAUAUAGUAUUUGAUCAUGUUUAUGUCUUUUUAUAUGAAGAUUUACGAUUUCUGAGUCCGAUUCCUCUUGACUCGUGCGGAUGCCUCUAUUGUUUUUAGUAGAAUUAUACCAUACAUAUUAUUUUUUUUGAUAAUCAAUUAUACCAUACAUAUUACAUACGGCCUUUAAAAGGAAAAAGCGUUUUCAUCCAAAUUAUUGAGAAUGCAUGGUCCUUCCAUGACAACUGCAUACUUUGCAUAAAGAUAUAUAUAAAUCAUUAGGAAGAAUGUGACAAAAAACAAAAGAAAGAGAAGCGAAGAAAGAAGGGCUUAUAAAGAUGAAUAUGCUUUCUUUUAUGUGGGUUAAAGAAAAAUUUUAUGCUUUCUUUUAUGUUUUAAAAACUUUUUCUUAAAGUUGCUGCAAUUUUCUAAAAAUUUACCAAUCUAUUAAUGUUUUUCUUUAACUGUUUUGUAAUGAUAAAUUGUUUUUAUUAUUGUUUUCAAGGGUAUUUGUAAAAUGGAUAAAAGGUCUUCUUUGAUGUUGCUUUUUGCUACAAAAAUUGACUUUAACAGUAUGAAUUCUUGUUUACUUCUUCCGUUUCUCAAUAAAUAUCAUUUUGACACUAUUCACACAGACUAAUAAAGUAGCGGAAAUAUAUGUAAAUUGUUACUAUCUCUGUUCCCGAAAGUAAGAUUUUCUAAAGUGUUCACGCUUAUUAAGAAUUCAAUAAAUGUUUAUAAUUUAUUUUUUCUUUUACUUUAUUAUACACUUUUCAAUAACUUUUCACCAAUGAAAUUUAAUCAAUUCAAAUAUUUUCAUUUAAUGUUUCUUAAAAGCAUAAAAAGUACCUUAAACAUAUAGAAAAUCUAUAUUUGUGAAACAAGUAAAAAAUCUAAAACAUCUUACUUUGGAGAACGGAUGAAGUAUUAAUUAAAUCUUUCCGACCAAUAGUAUUUGAGAUAAGUAAAAUUAUUUAUAAAACCAAUGCAGUUUGCAAUUAAUUUUCAGCUGAAAUUAAGUAUAAUUUGCAUUGUAAUUGUAAAGUGAAUUUUUUUAUGUAACAAAAAAAAGAUAGAAUGACACUUAUUAUGAAACAGAGAGUAUAUAACAACUGAUUUACACUUUUACUUAGAAUGGUUAUCGAGAAAAACGAAACACUAAGUGCUUAGUUUAUGUAUGUAAGUUAGUUACUCCCCUAAUUUAUGUUUAGUUAACAUGGAUUAUGAAACUGAAACUAUGAUUAAAGCUAUGUGAAAACAUAUAUGCACACAUCUAGUCUGACUCUUCCAAAUCGAAAAAGAUGUUUCAUCUGUAUUCUUCGAAAAAACUUAUAAAGCAGUGACUUAAUAUGACAAUAAUAUGUAAUUUAGUGACUGAUUAAUUAGGAAUAUCGGAGUAAUUGUAAAAUUACGUACUUAGCUAAGUUGUAUAAUAUGACUAUGCUAGUUAUAAUAAAAUGUGUUUUUACUAGCUAGCAUAGUCAUAUUCAUACAACUUGACUAAGUUAUAUGCAAUACUGUAUUCGAUUAAUACAAAUAAAACAGAUUUACUAUUAAGGAAUAGACCCUUUUUCUUGUCUAUAAUGCAUACGUAUGUUAUAUGUCUUAUCUAAGUUCAUUUGGUGAUAUAAUAACAUCGAACUUGGUCGAGCCUGUCUUAAGAAUGCUGUUUACUACAAAUCAACGGGUUCAAAUAGCAACGCAUGACAUGAAUGCAAUGCAUCUUAAUCGAAUAUAAUUGAUAUGGGUUUGGAAUUCAAAGUGGGAAUGAUGCAUACCUAAGACGUACUUUCACUUCACUAAAACCAAAGAAGAAUAAAAUGAUGAAUUAACUUAAAAGUGGGGAAAAAACGAAAGAUUCUUUAGUAAAAGCCAAUUAGUGCAACCCUUUAACAAAAAAGCCAGGCAAUGGAUUGUAGUAGCAGACAUUAAAGACGGGUUAUCUUCUUUUUUGACCAUUUGAUGAUAAUCUUAACUACACAACUCUACCAGGUCAAAUGACUGAAGAAUCCUAUGCAAAAUGCAACGUGUCUGUAGACACGUACCCACGCUUAUACUCACUAGAAUGAAUGGUGAGUAACAAACAAAUCUUCAUGUAAGGGAACAGUAUAAAAAUGCUCUGCCGCGAAACAUCCAUUUGUGACAUAAAUUCCAAAACGAACUCGGUGAGCUUGUCAUUCAGGUAUUUAGUGACAACAUAAUUAUUAUUCUCUGGUAACUAUUCAUAUUCUUAAAGAAAGGAACUCAAGAUAUUUUUCUUUUCAAUGUGGUGGUCAACUCAUCAUACCUAUAAUAAUAUAUGCUUCAGUUUAUCCCCCGUUGAAAAUUUCAAAUCUCAUGGUUAUUCACUCUCUUUUUGAGCCAUUGGAUUUUGAUGUGGUCCAUGCAUGCAUCUACUCAUUUCAAACACUUUUUCUUACUCAUUUCAAACACUUUUUCUUACUCAUUUCAAAUACUUGCUAGAAUUGUUGUUUGGUUUGACGUAAGAAUCUCUAUCCCUAGCUAUACUAAAGUUUAUAUAAGAUUAAUUGCAUCAUAUGAUUUGCAUACAAUUUGGAUUUGCUGUCGCAAAUCUCAUCGUCUUGUACGGUCAACAACUCAAGUGCUUCAAACUUAGAUGAGAAUCGACAUUGCGGGAUAAGAGAGUAAUAGUUUAUCAAAAAUAAGGAUGCAUUGAUUAAAACAAACGUACACAGUAGGAGAUCGAUAUCAGAAGUCAGAACAAAGAACUUCCGAUUUUUCUUAUUAGCUUAUAGUCUAAACAUAACCAGACAAAGGUCCUACGAAAUACGAAACGAGUCAAAUCGAGAAAGAAAAACACAAAUAACGACAAACAGGGUCGUUAUCUUGCUUCCAUUCUUCAGUAGUUUUAUCUCUUCUAGUGCAGGCUGCAUAAAAAAGCCAAAGUAUAUGUUAAAUACUGUUUCAAUCAUGAGGUCUCACGUUUUAAAAUUUAAAAUGAAAACUUGUAUUCACGUAAUAAAUUUAGACCCAAUAUACAUGGGGCACGAAACAAUAACUUAUUUUGCAUAUGUUCUGGAUUGGGUCUGGUUAGUUUCUAUAUAUGCCACCUUUUGUCAACGUAUAUAUAGCACACUAGCAUAUAAACCAUGAGAGAUUGUUGUGGCUUGAGAGUAAACUUUUGGAAUUAUUAGAAAUGAAAUUUAUUGAAGAAAUAACAAAUAACCAAAUUUACUUGAUCAAGAUGAUGAAGAAAGUUAGGUCUAGUAGGGUGGAUUGGUGGCAGGUUCCUUUGGGGCGUUGCACCUGAAACACUCUGACCUGCUUGCGAAGUUAUGUUCAUUGCAGCCUGACCUAUACAUACAAAACCAAUCAGCUUCUACAAUCUUCUUAUACAUAUACAAACAUGAAUGAAUAUAAAUACUAAUAUUCUAAAAUUGUCCUCUUAGCUUACGAAGCCUGCGCGCGCAUGAAUUUAUGUAUAUAUAUUAUUACAUGGUGGAGACGCCCAUGUACAUUUUCAUGAACCAUGCACAUGAAACAAACAAAUACAAAAAAAAAAAAAAACAAACAAUACCUGGGGCAAAUCCAAUCUCCAGAUUUCCAAGAAGAGCGGCCCAUGCCUCCGCCACCACCACUACUGCUACCAAAUCCAAAAAGGCCACGUCUUGGACCAUCACUCAAGUCCAUAAACCCGGUGGCUAGAGCGGCAGCCGAGCGUGAAGACUCAUCUUUUGCGGCACCACACUUGAAACAGCUGGACCUGCUUGCAAAAUUGUGAGUCCCGCAAUUUCCAAGGUUGCAGUACCAAUCACCGGGUCUCACGUCAGGCCCGGUAUUGAAAGCAAAAGCGUUGCUGAUCGGGCGGCUUGCGAAACUGCUGACUAAGUCGGUAAUGCUUCUCGGUCUGGGCUCUCUGCAUCGUUGGCAUGACUCCCUUCUUUGGAAGUUGAGGUGGCUACACGAUAGGCAGUUCCAGUCUCCUGGCCUAUUCAUCUUCUUCUAAUCCCCCAUAGAUAAACAAAUGACACAAUAUUAAAGGUAUAUAUAUUCACAAGUGUAGCCUAAUAUUUGAUGAUUACCUGGGGAUGUUAGCUGAAAACAGUAAGGAGAGUAGAAGUGAUAUUUUGGUGUUAGAGCGUAUAAGUGUGAUAUGUCCCCAUAUAUAUAUACAUCGGCAAAGCAAAAGGUUCUUCUUUAUCAACCGGGAACAUAUUUUGAAGUGAAAAUAGGGUUUCAAAUGGUUUUAACUUUCUUAUUUUUGUUUCAGCUUUAAUGCAUUUCCUUUAGAGCAUCUCCAAAAUGGAACUCUAUUUUGAAGUUUCCAAAACUUUAUAUUUGAAGUUUCAAUGUGUUCUUCUCCAAAAGUAAAACUUCAAACCUAACUUCAAAAUUAUUUAUAUUUUACACUAUGAUCCUUAUGUUUGUCAUAGUUGAUGUAAAUUCAUAAAACUUCUAUAAAUAACUAAUACAUAUAUAUAAAUAUUACAAAAAUAUUAAUUAAAAAAAAAUCUUACACUAAAAUAUAAAAUUAUAAAUAAAAGUACAUAAUUAAAUAUUAAACUGCAAGCAAAUAUUACAUUAUUGCAUAAAAUUAUUUCCAUAAUGCUCCCAUAUAUGAUCAACUAUUUCGAAGUAAGAAAUGAUUCUCUUUAUUUUUUAUUUGUAGAUUACGAGCCAAAAAUUGUUGAAACCGGAUAUCCUCAUAAUAUGUCUGCUGAUAGUUUGAUAUCAUCAAACGAAAAAAAUCCUUGAUCUUUUAAACGAAAGUACAACAAGCAGGGAAAAAGGUCAUGAGAUGAUUGAAUUACGACUGCAAAAUGAAGCAAAAAAGUUAGCUUUUAAAGAAAUAAAAGAGGAAAAUAAAAUAUUGCUAAAAAACUUAGCUUCUAUCGAUGACGUUAAUAUUCGUGAAUACAUUCGAUCUGAACAAGAAAGAAUCAUACGAAAAAUGCGUCAAGAGCAACAACAACAAUCAUCUUCGGUUACACAAAAUUUGUUGAACAAUAUUUUGGAGAUUUUGGAGGUUCCGGAGCAAAUUUACCAGACUAUUAGUGUUGUUAUAAUAUUUAAAUUUGAGUAAUAAUUAUGUCUUCAUGUGUCUUUUUAAUAAGUUUUUAUUAUGGUUUUUUGUAAUAUUCUUGUUGUUUAAUUCUAGUUUUAAAAUAUUAUAAAUCUUGUUUUAAUUUUUUUUAUUUAAUUUCAUGUGUAAAACUUAAGUUUAUAUAACAAAUUUGAAAUAUUUAUGAGAUAUAAAAGUUUUAAGGAUUAAAACAAUAAACAAAAAAAAUAUUUAAGAAUUAUAAAUAUGAUGUAUAAUUGUAAGGACCAAAAUGCAAAUAAAAAGAUGAAACUUCAAAUUUGAAGUUUUGAAAAGUGAAACUCUAUAUUUGGAGUUUCACUCUUCAAAACUUCAAAUUUGAAGUUUUGAAGUUCCUUUUUGGAGAGCAAAAAACUCUAUAUUUGGAGUUAUAGAGUUUCUUUUGGAGAUGCUCUUAGAGUUGGGUUUCUCCGUAAACUACGUUUUCCCAAAAGAAACAAAAGAUUAUCCAUACAUAUCGAGGACUUUAAAAUAUCAAUUUAAGACCCCACUAGUUUAAAGCUUCCAAUAUCAGCCGUUUUAUUAUGCUUGUGCUUCACAAAAGUUAUUACAUAUAUAGUGAUAAAAUCAAUAUUCACAUAGUUGUCAGAUGUGUAUUAUCAUAUACAUCAAUAUUAUACUCAUUUUUAGACACCCAAUUGUUUUUAAAUUGAUGACUAUAGUCUAUAUAUGUAGUUUGCAUCAUAUACUGCGUGUAUGAGUUGUAAACAAUCGAAAACAUGUUUGAAACUUAUGUUGAUAAUCCAAAUUGCGUAACUUUCUUAAAAUCCGCCGAUUCAACUAGGUUCAUGAUCAUGGGUGGAUAAUAAGGUCUCGUGCGUGUGUCAGUAGUAAAAAGGAUGCCUCAAGAAGAAAAGAAAAAUCUAAAGCAAAAGUUGCAUGGCAACAGUUUCAAGAACGUAUUGCUUCCAUAUAUAAACCGCGGAAAUUAAACAUUAAAAGAAUAUUUACUUCUAGUAUUUUCAGUAAGUGUUAUCUCCAUUUUUUUUCUAGCAGUAUCGAGUUACUCGUGUAUCCCAUCAGAACGUGUUCGCGAUUCUCAGCCAAAACCCAAGAAAACAACAUCAAAUAUAUAUAUAUANNNNNNNNNNNNNNNNNNNNNNNNNNNNNNNNNNNNNNNNNNNNNNNNNNNNNNNNNNNNNNNNNNNNNNNNNNNNNNNNNNNNNNNNNNNNNNNNNNNNUUUUUUUUUUUUUUUUUGAUAUUUCAUAUAUAAAAAACAUAUUUUUGAGACCACAAUGUUUACAGUACUUUGAUUACCUCCACAAAAUAUUCUAAAUAAAUCAUCCCCUGUAUAUUAAUCAUGGAGCAUUAUAACAUGUUUUCGUAGCCAAGUGUCAUCACGAGAAUGAUUCUUAGAAUUGUUAGAAAAAUAAGUUGGUCCAUAUAAACAUAUAUUAUGUUUUUCAUUAAACUAACUAUUAAAUUAAUUAAUAGUGUACAAAAUAAUAUAUUUUUUUUCUUAAAUAAAAGCUACGGAUUUACCUAAUAUGGUAAACAUAUAUAUGACAAUUAAUGAUUAUGAAUAAUACAUAUUUGAUUAAAAAAAAGUCUAACAUCUCUCACUUUUGUUUAAUUUUAUACUAUUAAAAGAAAUUAAACAAUCACAUUAAGCAUAUAAUAAAAAAAAUUAGAUUUUUUCUUAUACGUUAUAUUUUGAAUUUUUAAAAACGAGUAUAAAUUACUAAAUGGUAAAAGUCUCACAUUGAAAAUUUUGUGAUUAAUGGUUUUAUUUUAUUUUUUCUUCAAGCAAGAUACAAAUGAUCAUAUAUCUUAGGUGUGGGCGUUCAGAAACAUGUUCGAGUUUGUAUCGGAUAUUUCAGUAUAAAGGUAUAGAACCCGUUCGAGUAUUUCUACACUUCGAGUCGGGUUCGGGUAUUUUAUGUUCGGGUUCAGAUAUUUUGGGUCGGGUUUGGAUAUUUAAAUUUUGAAGAAAAAAUAAAUAAAUUAUUCAUUUUUUAAGUUUAUGUAUUUAAAAUAUAUUUAACUUAACCAGUUUUCUAAUUUUUAAAAGGUUAAACUAUUAAAAGGUUUGGAGACAAAACUUUAAAAAUAGAAAGACACUAAUUUAGUUGUUGUUUUUAGAUUUUAGAUUCAAUUUUUGUUAAUGCAAGAAACAAGAGUUUGAUAUGUAUUUUAAGUGAAUAGCAAAUGAUUUUGUCCAUAAUUAUAUGUAUAUUAUCUAAUUUUGAGCAAUAAACAUCAUUAAUAUAAAUAUUUUGAGUAAAAUGAGAGAAAUAAACUAUAAAUAUAAGGUUAAGUAUACUUAUGUUUGGUUAUCUUCGGAUAUCCAUUCGGGUUUGGAUAUUACUCGUUCAGAUUCAGAUAUUACCCGAACGGGUGAAAUAAGUAAUUUUUUUUGUUGUUCUAGAAUUAGAUGAUUUUUAGACUGAGCUGAUGAAUAUAUACUAGACAUAUGUUUAUAUUUCAAGUCUGCACGCAUAUUCUAUAACAGCUUGAUAUAUUAGAUUUGAACAAAGUUUGCCGGUGAUUUUGUUUUCAAAAUUUUGAUUCUUAGAUAUGAAUCUGGAAUAAAACUAAUUUUUACAUAUGUCCAUUUUUUAAAUUGACACAUAUGUAAUUCACCGAAUUCAUAGAAUAAGUUGAAAAAAAAAACUUAACUCAUAUCAAUGAAAUAAAGAACAGAACGAAAUCACAAUUUUAUAGAGGUAGAAAAUGAAAUCAGUUAUAGAUAGUCAAUAGUAAACAAAUUGGGAGAAGAAAACCUAAUCCUCUUUCGUCAUCAUACAAUCAAUGUUGCCUAUUUGGUUUCGGUGAUUUGUGUCAGCCGCAAAACUUAAUUUUCUUUUGUGCAUAUGAAGUCUUAAAAAUAAUUAAAAUGAGAUGUAAUACGUUCACUCUUCAACAACGAUGAUAUAUUAAAGAGACCAACAUUACACACCCUCACUCCUAGAUUCGCCUUUAUAUAUUUAUUUUGAAAAUUUUCAAUUUGUUUCUUUUACUAGUAAGAAACCAAACGAUGUAUCGCAGCGUGUGUGUUUCAUCAAGCCUCUUUUCUGUUGAGUAAUUUCCAAAUUUGAUGAUAACAAAACGUUACAAAAGUAUUUGCAUGGUUUGGGCUAUUUCUAGAUACAAAAUUACUUGCAGAAGGUCACACACUGUUACGUUAGAACUCUGAAACAUAGAUCUCGAAACUAAAUUUCAAGUUUUAGUUUGAACAAUCAAAUUGGUGUUUAGUUUGAACAAUCAAAUUGGUAGUAUUGGGUUUGGUGCAUGAUUUAUGUCGACCCUUUUGGAUAAGGCCCAUAUUGUUCAAUGUGACGGAUACACCAAGUUAUUAACACUGAAUACAUCUGUGUACACACUCAUUCUCCUACCAUGGAUUAAAAAACAUAAAGUCGAAAAUAGUAAUGAAAACGAAUGUAUUGGUAAGCCAUAAAUGAGUUGGUUGUUCGUUUUAGUUUUCUCUUAAGAAAAGUCCACACGAAAGUUACGAUUGCCAUAUCUUCACUGUCCCUUUUGGUUUGAUUUUUUGAAACUUUUCUCGAUCGAAGUGAAAAAUUUCAUGGCCACAUGACACCUAAAUCCCGUCAAAACAUGCUGGAGACCGUCCUUCAUUAAUGGUAAGUUGAUUUGGAUAGACAUAAUUGAUUUUUAAAUAGGGAAGUUACCAUAACUCUAAGAGAUUGAUCAAAAAGAACAUACUCUCAUGUACAGAGAUGUUUGGUCCAUCGCAUUACGGAUAUGUUCUUUGGAAUCGACUGAUGGAUAGAAAAUGGACAUGCACCAAGCUGGGAGAACACAUCAAAAAGUCUCAAGUAAAACAGAGGAAAAUUAUAAACACUCUCCAACACAUAAGGAGUAUGUUAACGAAUAAAGAUAGGGCUAUGCAAACUCUUUGUGCAAUAUUCAAAACCACGUGCCGACUUAUUAUUGAUUGAUGCUUUGUACAUGAAAUUGAUCUCCAACAUUCUCUAUUCUCUUAUAUUAUAAGUUAUACACUCUCGUAUAUAUUAAUCUUGGAGCAUUACAACAUGUUUUCGUAGCCACGUAUCAUUACAAGAAUUAUUCUUAGAAUUGUUAGAAAAACAAGUUGGUCCAUAUAAACAUAUACUAUGUUUUUUAUUAAGCUAACUAUCAAAUUAAUUAGUAGUAUAAUAAAAGCUACGGAAUUACCUAAUAUGAUUAACAUAUGUAUGACAAUUAAUGAUUAUGAAUAAUACAUAUUUGAUAACAAUUUUUCUAACCUCUCUCUCUUUUAUUUAAUUUUAUACUAUUAAAAGAAAUUAAACAAUCACAUUAAGCAUAUAAGAAGAAUUUACAUUUUUCUUAUAUGUUAUAUUUUGAAUUUUUAAAAACGACUAUAAAUUACUAAAAAUGGUAAAAGUCUCACAUUGAAAAUUCUGUAAUCAAUGGGUUUAACUUUUUUUUUGUUCAAGCAAGAUACAAAUGAUCAUAUAUCGUAGGGGUGGGUGUUCGGAUAUACGUUCGGGUUCGUAUCGGAUAUUUCAGUAUAAAGGUAUAGAACACGUUCGAGUAUUUCUACACUUCGAGUCGGGUUCAAGUAUUUUAUGUUCGGAUUCGGAUAUUUUGGAUCGGGUUUGGAUAUUUAAAUUUUGAAGAAAACAUAAAUAAAUUAUUCAUUUUUUAAUUUUUUGUAUUUAAAAUAUAUUUACCUUAGCCGGAUUUCUAAUUUUUAAAAGGUUAAACUAUUAAAAGGUUUGGAGAUAAAACUUUAAAAAUAGAAAGACACUAAUUUAGUUGUUGUUUUGAAAUUUUAGAUGCAACUUUUCUUAAUGCAAGAAACAAGAGCUUGAUAUGUAUAUUAAGUGAGUAGCAAAUGAUUUUGUCCAUAAUUAUAUGUAUAUUAUCUAAUUUUGAGCAAUAAGCAUCAUUAAUAUAAAUAUUUUGAGUAAAAUGAGAGAAGUAAACUAGAAAUAUAGGGUUAGUAUACUUAUGUUUUGUUAUCUUCGGAUACAGUGGUGGAGCCAGCCUAGUUUUUUGAGGAGGGUCAAACUCUUAAUUUGUAUAUAUUACAUGGGUCAACAUACCCACAAUUUGUAAAAUUUUCCUUAUUUUUAGUACAAAUUCAUGUAAUUUUUUUUUAUGUUUUAAAAUCAUGUGGGUCAUUUGACCACCCUCCUAACCAGCUACCUCCGCCACUGUUCGGAUAUCCAUUCGGGUUCGGAUUCAGAUAUUACCCGAACGGGUGAAAUAAGUAAUUUGUUUUGUUGUUCUAGAAUUAGAUAAUUUUUAGACCGGGCUGGUGAACAUAUACUAGACAGACGUUUAUAUUUCGAGUCUGCACAUAUAUUAUAUAACAGCUUGAUAUAUUAGAUUUGAAUACAGUUUCCGGUGAUUUUAUUUUUAAAAAUUUAAUUUUUAGAUAUGUAUCGGGAAUGAAACUAAUUUUUACAUAUGUCCAUUUUUUAAAUUGACACUUAUGUAAUUCACCGAGUUCAUAGAAUAAGUUUUUUUUUUGUCAUCAGAAUAAGUUAAAAAAAAAAACUUAACUCAUAUCAAUGAAUGAUAUGAAACAAAGAUCAGAACGAAAACACAAUUUUAUAAAAGUGAAAAAUUAAAUCACUUAUGAAAAGUCAAUAGUAAACAAAUUGGGAGAAGAAAACCUAAUCUUCUUUUAUCAUUAUACAAUCGAUGUUGCCUAUUUAGUUUUGGUGAUUUGUGUCAGCCGUAAAACUUAAUUUCUUUUAGUGCGUAUGAAAUCUUAAAAAUAAUUAAAAUGAGAUGUAAUAUGUUUCCUCUUCAACAACGAUGAUAAUUUCCUUUAGUGCGUGUAAAGAACUAUUAAAACAAUUUCCUUUAGUGCGUAUAAAGAACUAUUUUUCGCUCACUUAUUUAGUUUAAUAGAAGGAUAUCAAAUGUUUUUAAUACAAUAUCAUAAUUAUACGAAACAUAUGGUCAUUGUUUUAAUUAUAUGGAGCCUGUCGGUCCAUUAAUAUAACAAAACUGUGAGAGGAUGUAUAACUAUAAACUUUCAUUAAAUGGUCGUUUUGUUAAUUGAUUGAUGUCAACUGUAUAUAUGUGCGUUUCCUUACCCUAAAUUCGAAGUGAUAACUGCAUAUUUUUUUGAUACAGGAGAUGAUUUUCUUUCGUACGUAACUUUAAGUAUAAUGUAACUACACCGAACAGAAAAACAGGUGAAAUUAAACACACAUGUCCACACAUGGACAGAAGGAGCAUUUAAAGUAAAGGAAAGUGGUGGUUAGAGAGUAUGUGAUAUAAUUAAUCGGCCCAAAUAGAUUGGUAAGUGUUAGCCGCCAUGCUAAUAACUUCAACCUCAGAUCUUUCUACUAAAACCAUUUUAUUAUAAAUUCUACGUACACUCCCACUUCAUCUCCUCAAAUUCAUCAAAACACACUACAAGAAAAUGUUGACUCGUCUCCCUUUGAUAUGUUUUCUUGUUUCAGUCACGGCCAUUGCGGCUGACUUAACACCGGAGCGUUAUUGGAACACUGCCUUACCAAACACUCCCAUGCCAAACUCUCUCCGUCAUCUUUUCACGCCAGGUUACUGUAAAAUCUUUUUACUUUAUAUAUGUUUUUUCUAUGUGUCCCAAGCUGAUUGGUUACACAAUCUCUGAUAGUUUGUGAUUAUGUAUGUUAAGAACAUCUCCAAACCAUCUUUAUAUAUGUUUGUAUGAACAUUUAUAAACAAAUUUGUUUCAACAUACACUAUAUGUUCUCUUUAAAUGUAAACAUUUUUUUUUCUCUGUAUGUCAAAAUAAAAUUUAUUUAUUUUUCAGUAUAAAUAAAUAUUAAUUUAGAAAAUACACUAAAGUAAAUAUUUACAAUUCAAAAAAUAUUUUUAUUUUAUUUUAGAGGAAAAUAUAACAAAAUAUAUAUUGUAGAUUUCACUGAUGAGAAGAGCACCGACGUCCAAGUAGGGAAAGGAGGCGUGAACGUUAACGCCGGAAAAGGCAAACCCGGCGGAGGAACCGCCGUUAACGUUGGAAAAGGAGGUGUGUACGUGGACACAGGCAAGGGCAAGGGAACACACGUGAGCGUUAGCGGCGGAAAAGGUCCUGGAGGAGGCGUUGGAGUCCACACCGGACAGCCUGGAAAGAGAACCGACGUAGGAGUUGGUAAAGGCGGAGUUAUAGUGCACACGCGACACAAGGGCAGGCCGGUCUACGUCGGUGUAACGCCAGGACCAAACCCUUUUGUGUAUAACUAUGCAGCGAGCGAGACUCAGCUCCACGACGAUCCCAAAGCGGCUCUCUUCUUCUUGGAGAAGGAUAUGGUUCCUGGAAAAGCUAUGAACCUCAGGUUUAAUGCGGAGGAUGGUUACGAUGGUAAAACGGCGUUCUUGCCACGUGGGGAGGCGGAAACGGUGCCGUUUCAGUCGGAGAAGUUUUCGGAGAUUUUGAAUACUUUCUCGGUGAAACCAGGUUCGGAGGAAGCUGAGAUGAUGAAGAAGACUAUUGAGGAGUGUGAAGCGAAAAGAGUUGGGGGAGAGGAGAAGUAUUGUGCGACUUCUUUGGAGUCUAUGGUCGAUUUUAGCGUUUCUAAACUUGGCAAAUAUCACGUCCGUGCUGUUUCCACUGAGGUAACAAACACUUCUCUUCUUUUUAUGGUUUAUUAUUACGUUUAGGUUUGACAUAAAUCAAAUAAAGUCAAAACUGAAUGAAAUUAAUAUUUGUAAUUAGGUUUGGUUACGUUUGAUUAGGUUAAAUUUGAUGAGGUUUGGGUUGUAUACUUGUGUCUACUUUAUCUCCGGUUAGGAUUCGGUUUUAGCUAGUAAAUGAUUCAUUCAACAUCGUACAUCUUGUUUGCUUAAAAUACUAUAUUAUAGAAGAGAAAUAAAAGUUAAAAACUACUUUUUAUUUUAUAUUUGGGUUUGAGUUUAGUGAUUAGAAUUUAGGGUUUAAUAUAAAGUAGAAGGCAAGAUUUUGAUAAAAUUUUAAAGUUUGGAGUAACUUAAUCAUUUCACUCUUUAAUUAAUGUUAUUUUUGAGAUUUUUUUUGUUUGUGUGCUAUUUUUUCAUAAUUGUUUUUUUGUGUUAUUUAAAUCAUGUGCUCUGUAUAUAAGUAAGUGAACAUAAAAAAAAAGAAAUUUAAGUCUGGUAUGAUUUGGUUUUACACUUUUACUUGGUUCAGUUUAGUUUCAUUUGAUUUAUAUGUCCACGCCUUGCUAAUACUCGAGUUAAUUGAUGUAACCUUGGUUACUACAGGUGGUUGAGAAGAAUGCACCGAUGCAAAAGUACAAAAUCGCAGCACCCGGAAUAAAGAAGUUGUCGGACGACAAGUCAGUGGUGUGUCACAAACAGAAGUACCCAUUCGCGGUGUUCUACUGCCACAAGGCGAUGAUGACGAGCGUGUAUGCGGUUCCACUCGAAGGAGAGAACGGUCUGCGGGCUAAAGCGGUUGCGGUUUGCCACAAGAACACCUCGGCUUGGAACCCAAACCACUUGGCCUUCAAAGUGCUUAAGGUGAAGCCUGGGACUGUUCCGGUCUGCCAUUUCCUCCCUGAGACCCAUGUUGUUUGGUUCAGCUAUUAGAUAGAUAUGCUUUCAUAUAUUGUGGCUUAUGUAAUAAAUAAUAAUGCCGUCCCUUCCAUAUAGUCAAAGAAUUAAGACAUAAGUUUUCACUUUGCAUGGUUUGUCUUCUGUGGCCUGAUUCAUUCUUCUUUUGCAAGAAUAUACUGUAUGAUAAUAAAACUAGUCUUCAAAUAUUAAAAGAGCUCGUCCGUAGAAAACGGUAAUUUUCGUAAUGGGCCCAACGUUGCCAGAGUAACAUGAAAAGACCCCAAAGAAAAGAGAAAAUGUCAGAAGUGGGAUGUGAACCCACGCCCUCUUACGAGGACCAGAACUUGAGUCUGGCGCCUUAGACCACUCGGCCACCCUGACUGUUGUAAUUUAUUUGAAAUUACGGAUAAAUCUAAUCAAACAUAAGUAUAAAAUAAUAUAUUGAAAGAGCCUAAAACAUCUAGAAUGAAUGAACACAACUGAAUCAAACAUAUACAAAGAAACUUAACUUACCAUUCUGCUCCCAAGUCCAAAACCCUCUUAACUAAAUCAAAAGCUUGGUCUAUCAACCAACAUCCAAAAUAGACGAAACGAUGUUGUCUCCUAUAAAUGCUUUUACCACAUCUCAAAACAUUGGUUUUUAGCAGAGAGCUGAGUUCCAAGUCACUCUUUGUCUCAUCCUGUUUUUUGGCACUAGACUUCCACAGUACAUGGUUGGUUUCUUAUACUGUAGUAUCAAUUCAUUUAACGUAUGGUCAAAUAUGAAAAUAUCUCCAUCUCUGGUCCACUUUAUCUCAAAACGUAGUUUGAAUCACAUACCACAAGUCGAGUAAAAUCCUUGUACAUUUGCUAUUGUUUUUUUUAAUGAAAUUUUCACUUGACCAUAUGGUGCGUGUAUGAUGAAGUCAUCCUAAUGAAUAUCACCCACUUGUAGUAGCAAUGUAAAGCUAAAUACAAUACCAAGCCAUUGAGUCUCUUCUUUGAUAAAAGCUUUACAGAAGGUUGUUGGUGUAUUUACGAGGGAACAGAAUUGUUUUGAGACUUAAAUGAGCGUUGGGCCUUGGCCCAUUUGGAGUCUCCACUUCACUAUUACCAGUUCAAAUAUGUAAUGUGUACUUCCAAAAAAUAUAAAUUAUAAAGUAAUGAUGAUUUAUUAUGCAUUUUGAAAUAAAAUGUAUAUAAUUGAAUUUUGCCAUACAUUGUGAUUUCUUGUUAAGCUUUUGUAAACUGAUGAUCGUGUAUUAUUAUAAUCAUAUACUAGAUGUAAUUUAAAUGGUUUUAGUGAUUGUCAAAAAAAAAUUGGUUUUGGUUUGCCAUGUAGUAUUCCUCGAACCAACCACAUAAACUAACGACUCAAGAGUGACAAAGGAGACAUGUUUUAACGGAAAACGACUAGAACUUAUUACAGAAUAUGCCAGCUAACAAGCGCUCAGCUGGUUAAUACUGAACAAGAGAUGAGACUCGAGAGAUGAGCCCUCGAUUGAAGGAGCCAAUGACACUAUGGACUCAAGUACAUUGCUCUUAAAAUUGCAUCUGAUAGCAAACCAACUUUCAAAAUCCUGCUUCGGUUCAGCCUCGGGUUUGGCGAGUGUUGUAUGAUUUGCAGUCUGGACAUUUCUGAGCCACCACAUGGUACUGCACCUCCGAUUUUUUCCCACAGUCGUUGCAGAGGAUCUGAACCUGUUUUGUGUCCAUCAAAUGAUUUAGUUAUAUAUAAUCUGAUGAUUUUGAAUUCUUUACUUGGUUGAGCCUGAGGUGUAAUAAGAGUAAGUUUAGACUAACCAUUUUGUUCUGGUAUGGUUCUGGCAUUGGUGUAGCAGCAAUCUCCACGUCAAAUUUCUCCCACACCUUUGACAUGUCGCAUACAGAUUUUGAGCAAAGCGGGCACGCGUAUCUGCAGAGCACAGUUUACAGUGUUGUCAGUUGAAAGACAGCUACAAAUAACAACCCUGAGUUAUUUAUUACACUUACUGGUAAUGUUCUCUCAUUUCCUCCAAACACUUCUGAUGGAUGGUGUGUCCGCAGGGCAAAACUGUUACAUCGUUCCUUGAUUCAAACAGGUACUACAACAAAACCAUUAUUGCCGUUUUGUUUAGAGGGAUGCUCAAUUAGUGGAAGAAAAAUUGAAAGAAAAGAUACCUCAAAACAAAUGGGGCAGUCGUGAUGCAUUGCUCCUUCAACACAAGGGUGGCUGUUCUUGAGAAGGAUUGAGUAACAACAGCCUGGUUGAUAGUCAGAUUGUACAAGUCAAGAGAUUUAGUGGUGGCCAGCGUAAAAAAGUUCGAGGUUAUCUGAUGCAGAAAUUGGCUUACCACACUUGUAACAGUGAAAGAAAUUUUCAUGUCCGCCGAUUCUGGAACAAAAGAAGUAAAAAAGUUCCAAGUUAUGAACAAAUAUCUAACGUGAUAGAGUGAACAAAUCUUGUUGUAUGUUAAAGACGAGUCCAAGAACGUACCUGCAGAUUCCACAGCCGUCGCAGUGAUACUGCUUUUUAGAUGUCUGGAAACAAGAUAGAACAUAAUGGUUAACCAGCAGUAAUAGAGAAGCAAGAAAGAGAAAAUGAUCCAACAAUCAAGCUUAGGAAUAAAUUGUCUCAGGAAACUCACAUCAUCAUCGUAGAGCUUGCAGGCUUCACAGAAGUACUUCCCCAUGCACACUCCGCAGUUGGUACAAUUUUGGCGAACCUGGUGAAAACAGAGAAAACAGAGUUAAAUCUUCAAUAGAGUUGAGAAAAUGUUUGAUACCAUCCUAACUGAAACUUCUCAUUACUAAAAGCAGUAAACGUUCAGAAAAAGCAUAGAGUUUAGAACACACCUCUUGUUCAGUGCCACAGAGUAAGCAAAUAACCUGUGAAGACGAAGAUAGAGAUUCUGGAAUCAAGCAUAGAAGAAUAAACAUAGAGAAAACAAGGUAUUACAAACAACUUUACCUGUUCAACUUUCUGGCGAGGAAUAUCAUGACUCUGUUUCGGAUCUGCACUUAUAUUGUUCUGCUUCCAAGACAUGAUGAUUACACAUGUCAGCUUACAAAUCUAAUAAGAGUGAAAUCUAAAACCUGAAAUAAGAAACUCUACCUUUGCCUCAUAAUGACAGUGAUGGCAACCAAAGAUCUCAUCACAGCAAGGAGAUCUAAUGCAACACCUUCUUCUGUAAUGAGGACAUCUGCAAGAACAUUGGGAGAAAUUAGUUCAAGAGACACGCUCAGCUCUGGGGGAAUUCAAUGAGGAGGCAAAAAUUACCCAUGCUCCAUUAGUCCUCUGUCAAGGACUUCUUUUAAUGAUGACUCUGCCGCCUCGAGUUCGAGAAUCAACGACUCAGUUUCUUCAUUGCGUGAAUGAGGGCUGAGCAUCUCACUCUUCUCUCGGUCAGUCUUCUGUGGCUGCUCAACGAAAUGGUUGAAAUGUACCCUCUCCAUUACGAACUAUCUGUGAAUGAUACUGGCUAGCUGAUGGAAAAGCUUAUGUAACCUGCAAGCAAGAAAAGAUUUAGAACACAUAUUCAUCAUUUCCAAGUAAUAUGUCACCUGAAAAAACUGGAUGAACUGUUGCUUCCAUCUACAUUGCAGUAGACCAAUCCAAUCAUCACCAAGACAAUCCAGUUACGAAACGGCUCCAAUAAGCUUUCUCCAAGAGGCAAGUAACAUCAAAACAAGAAGAUUUACAAAGUAUAAAAACUAAACACAGCCCUCUUGGUUGAUGGAGCCUUCGUACAGAAAGAAAAGCUUAGCUCACUUCAGUUCUUGAAAUUCUGGGAAAACAUAUUCGGUUUAACCGGAUAUCCCCAACCUAUUGUAAAAGCAAGGUAAAGACUAUCAAACAACGUUUGGGACUGACGUAAAAAAAAUUGGAAUAACCGGGUUAAAAAAGAUGGGUCGGUGUCCAAAGAGGACAGACCUACCUCCCAUUGCCACUCUGCACCAAUAUUACUUCAGUAUGAAUCAGAAUUUUUUACUAAAGGAAUUAAAAGCCUGAAGAGUACUCUUUA